AGAUAAUUCAUACAUGUAAAAAAGUGAAAAUGUCAAAUAUGCAAAAGUUCAAUUUAAGAAAAAAUGCAGUACGAUGGUGAAACUUUUCUAAUUUGUAUUGGAUCUCUCUUCCUUUUGCUAGAUGGGAAGGAAUAUGAUAUUUAUGUAUCUUAUGCAAGGAAUGCUGAGGAAGAAGAGUUUGUGUUACUGACCCUCCGUGGAGUUUUGGAGAAUGAAUUUGGAUACAAGCUGUGCAUCUUUGACCGUGACAGUCUACCUGGGGGAAAUACAGUGGAAGCAGUUUUUGACUUCAUUCAGAGAAGCCGAAGGAUGAUUGUUGUCCUGAGCCCAGACUAUGUGACAGAAAAAAGCAUCAGCAUGCUGGAGUUUAAACUGGGUGUCAUGUGCCAGAACUCCAUCUCCACCAAGCUCAUUGUGGUUGAGUACCGUCCCCUUGAGCAUCCACACCCAAGCAUCCUGCAGCUGAAGGAAUCUGUGUCUUUUGUGAGCUGGGAGGGAGAAAAGUCCAAACAUUCUGGCUCUAAAUUCUGGAAGGCCUUGCGGUUGGCUCUUCCCCUGAGAAGUCUGAGUGCCAGCUCUGGCUGGAAUGAAAGCUGUUCUUCCCAGUCUGACAUCAGUCUGGACCAUGUUCAAAGGAGGAGAAGUCGUUUGAAAGAGCCCCCAGAACUCCAGGGCUCAGGGAGAGCUGCAGGCAACUCUCCAGCCCCAGACACAAUUUCCAAGCACAGAGGGAAGCCCUCUGCAGCCUGUCGUUGCUGUGUCACCUACUGUGAAGGAGAGAGUCAUCUCAGGAGCAAGAACCGGGCAGAGAUACAUACCCAGCCCCAGUGGGAAACACACCUCUGUAAGCCUGUUCCCCAAGAAUCAGAAACUCAAUGGAUACAAAAUGGCACCAGAUUGGAACCCCCUGCUUCCCAGAUCUCAGCCCUUGCUCUUCACCAUUUCACGGAUUUAUCCAAUAACAAUGACUUCUAUAUCCUAUAAUUACCAUGUGGUGGGUGGAGGCUGCUAUCUAUCUAUACCAGCCCUCUUUGUGUCAUGAACCUAUGGGAAUAAUUGACAUUUUUAUCAUCUAAUGGACUACCAGACUGUGUCCCCUUUAUUGACUUUUAAAAACUAUUUAUUUCUAGGAGACAAAAGACCUGAGGACCUGAAUCCAGAAUUAUUGCCUCUAAUGGCCUCAGAAGAGCACACUCUUCUUGGGCCCUAGAAGGUCAGUAUGUGAAAGUUGCCUAAAGUCUGAUCCUCUGUCUUGCCCAAUGGUUUCAAACUGAGCAAAGAAUUUAAGUGUGUUUCCUUUGAGUUUGUUGAUCAACCUCAUAUUAUGAGUCAGUCAGGUGUACUUGGGCUAUGACACUUAAACUAUGUAUAUUCCAAGAGAGCAUUGUGGAAAUGAGUUGAUUGUGGUGGAAGCUGUAAGAUUAAGUUCUACUAAAAGCCUACAGCACAUUUUCCCUGGAAGAACCAAACACACUCACACAGGGAUACAUGGUGUUCUAUCUCACUGUAAACUAGUGUUCUAUAAACUGCCUAAAGUUGUUAGCAUCAAUAAAGUUAUAUUUUUAUGUGAUUUCAUUUGUACUAACAAAUUUUUACUUGUCUUUCCCCUCUUCUUUUUAUGGCUUUUGAAUUCAUAUCAGAAGAGAAUUCCAUUUCAGGAAAUCAAGACUUGGUUUAGGUACUAGGAAAGUUUGAGGUGUCUCUUUAGUUUCUUUCUAACGUGUAUGGAGGGGAGAUUGGGGAAAGGACAGAAAGAGAGUGAGAAAAUGUUUCAAAUGAAAUGGAAGUUUACACAAAAAUCUCCUAUUUUUAGAACUGACAGCUGAAAAAUUCAGUAUUGUUAGGGAUUCAGUGUAGCAUUUGGUGUAUGUAUCCCUUCUUUGCAUUCAAGAUUCUGAAGAAGGGAUAGUCAGUCCACGUGCCUACAAGAAUCAGAAAGUAAGAAAAAAGAGAAAAGGGGGCUAGAUAUAAGCAUAAUACACAUGCUGUCCAUCUAAUACCCAUAUGUUUAGGGACAUAGGUAUAGGUACAUAUUUCUUUACUUGAAACAUUUUAACACGAUCAUAAAAGGCACAUGGCAUUUGAUCUGCCAGUGAGGGAGAUAAUAGAGAUGAUUGGGCCUGUGGGUAACUGAAGAAUAUUUCUUAAAAAGGGAGCAUCCUCUACUCAGCUCCAUCAUGAUAGUUGUCACUCAGCCCCAUUGUUGGCAGAUUGUACAGUUUUUCAAAAGAAUCUAAAAAUUAAGAUUUGUACGUAGUCUCUCAACUACAGGAUGUUUUAAAUUUAAAAUAAAAGAAAAAAAAGAACCAACCAAAACACAUGAACACAUAGUCAGCCUGAGGGCCACUAGUUUGUAAUUUUAGAACUAAAAUAUUCACCCACAGAGUAUAUAUCUGAGUGGGGAUUCAAGUGUCCUUGGCAAUACUGAGACUAGAGAACACAGGCAGGACCUAGGACAUAAUGGGACACUUUUAUUCCCUCCCCAAAUAAAAAACAUCUGAAUCCUCAAAAAUAAGGCUGAUCUGACCUACCAUUCAUCAGAGGAGGAAAAAAGCCAGAAAAUUGUGUGCCUUCCAUCUACUCUGAUGGAUGAGUACAGGCUCCCUGUCUGGUGAGGUUACUCUAAAAAAAAAAAUAGAAGCACAAUCUACUCCCCCUAAACAGGAACAGAACAAAAAGAGCAAAAGACCAUACCAGGCGUGAGCAGUCACCUUCAGUACAUUAGUGCUGGCUGCUAGUUAGCUAUGGCCCAAUGAAUGUCAGCCUUUCUCAGUCACUAAUAGUGAAGGAUGGGUGGAGAAAGAAGCCACACAUUUCAUCCCACUACUCCACUUGGAGAGAAAAGCAGAAAAUCCCUUCUCUGUUGAAACAAACUAUUACAUCCUUUUCCUGUUAAAAGAAAAAGAUGUGAGAAUAAGGGACACCCCAGAGUAAAUGUGACUCAUCAUGGAACUUGUAAUUAGGAAAUGACAGACCACCCUACCUGAAUAUCUAGCAGAAAACAAUCCAUAUUCUAUAUUGCAUUUCUUCUUGAACAAAUUAAUCCAACCUUGAUGUAUGUUCAAGGAUCUUCACUUGGAAGACAGACAGCAGUUUCUCUCCCAGUCUAUUAAAAGGGAGUACUGUAUGUUGCUCCAAAUCCUAAAAAGGGAGAGAAUGUUUUUACCCAUAAUCAGUCUUAUUCCUUAUCAGCUCAGUGUCCCAACUACAAAAUAUCUUUGGAAAAAUUGAGAAACUACUCUUGUCAUUUAUGAAUUAUUUUUCGUGUGUGAAAAAAAUAAAGGAUAAGUGGCAAAGGCAUGGAAAUUAAACAUGAGUUCUUAUGAAUGAGUAGCCAGAUAACCGUGUUUUCAAAAGGUAAGUUAGUUUUGGUCAGUAUCAAUUUCCAUUAACAAUAUAAGGACAGUGUAAGCACUAUAAAGUCAUAGCUUUUGGCGUUAGCUACACAGGGGUCAGAAAGGUAAUGGACCAUAUUCCUACUGUAUGAAGAAAGGCUAGGAGGUUAUGUUAUUAGUCUCUGACCAAACAUUCCAUACUUGAGUGUAAUAUUCAUUGCCAUUUAUUUCAAUGAGGCAAAUGAUAAGAAAAUUUUCUCAUGGGUCAUGCAUAUUCAUAACUGAUAUGAUUGCAGGUUAAAUGGAUAUCAUUUACAUAGGAAUGUUGCCUAUUUAGGAGCAGGAGUUUUAAGUCAAGUAGAGAUGAAUGCUCUGAUUUUCUCCAGCCAAGAAGGACUACAAAUCAUCCUUUUAACAAGGUGUUUGCAGGCAAUAGAUGAAAAUAUAGGACAUGUUUAGCCCUUGAAUUGCUUCGACACAGGAGACAAAUAGAGGAGUGGUUGGUACAGUGUAUUUCUAACAUAUGAAGCAUCAAACACUGACAUUUGGAAUCUGGUAGGAUUGCUGUGGUCAUCACAUGUAUUAAUCAGAUUCAGAUAAGCUAUGCUCUGCUAACAAAUAACCCCAACAUUUCAGUAGCUUUAUAUAACAAGACUUAUUUCUUGUUUAUGCUAUAUGUCCAUAUAGGGGCUUACACUUUUGUAGUUUUGCCAUCUGAAAUGUGUGGCUUCCUGCUAUUCUAAACUUCAGCCUAAAUAUGACACUUAACCACUCUCACUUACAACCCAUUGGUCAAAACUAGCUAUGGCACUGAUCUAGUCAUAGAGAAGGCUGGAAAAUGCAUUCUUCCUGUGUUCUUGGGAAGAGAAAAUGAAAUGGAACUUGGUGAACACAUAGGGUUGUCUUUGCCUAAGAAUGAGAUAUUGAGAUUGCCUGAAGAGGCAAGAGAACUACAACUGGAGUUAUGUUACAUACUUUGAUAAUGAAGAAAUGGAAUGAUUUUCCUGCCGAGACCCCACCUCCACUUGCCAAGGUGUCAAGUCAGGUACUUAUGAAAAAACAGUGUACAGAAAUGAAUAGGGUUUGUCCCUAAUUUUCCUAAAGGAAAGUUGUUGAAGGCAUACAUAAUAAUUACAGCUCCUGGUCAAGAAAAAGCAUUCUUAAAAAUUGGGAGCCUCAGAAGGAUUGAAGACAUUUAGAACACAGCAGAGCAUGUAACACAGUCAUUAGAAAGCCUCCCUUGAUCUAUUUAUCUGAAGAGCCAAGUGGGGAAUUCAAACGGAACAUGCUAGAGACCAGAUGAAGGAAGAGACAAAUGCUGCUCUGGGUACUAUGAAGUCAGCUGCUAUCUACGCAUCUGUUCUCUCUAUAAUUUGGACUCUCUGUAUUAAAGAUUUGAA